rnacentral:lncRNA from 1 species
CAUGUCUUUUCUCCUCUUUGUAUCAUUGUAUUGGCUCGGGGUGAGUGUUCUAAACAGGAAGGUCUUAGUGUCAUUGUAUUGGCUCGGGGUGAGGGUUCUAAACAGGAAGGUCUUUGUAUGGAUUGUAUUGGCUUGGGGUGAGGGUUCUAAACAGGAAGGUCAUUGUAUUGGCUCGGGGUGAGGGUUCUAAGCAGGAAGGUCUUUGUGUCAUUGUAUUGGCUCGGGGUGAGGGUUCUAAACAGGAAGGUCUUAGUGUCAUUGUAUUGGCUCGGGGUGAGUGUUCUAAACAGGAAGGUCUUAGUAUCAUUGUAUUGGCUCGGGGUGAGGGUUCUAAGCAGGAAGGUCUUUGUAUCAUUGUAUUGGCUCGGGGUGAGGGUUCUAAACAGGAAGGUCUUUGUGUCAUUGUAUUGGCUUGGGGUGAGGGUUCUAAACAGGAAGGUCUUAGUAUCAUUGUAUUGGCUCGGGGUGAGGGUUCUAAGCAGGAAGGUCUUUGUAUCAUUGUAUUGGCUCGGGGUGAGGGUUCUAAACAGGAAGGUCUUUGUGUCAUUGUAUUGGCUUGGGGUGAGUGUUCUAAACAGGAAGGUCUUUGUAUCAUUGUAUUGGCUCGGGGUGAGGGUUCUAAACAGGAAGGUCUUUGUGUCAUUGUAUUGGCUUGGGGUGAGGGUUCUAAACAGGAAGGUCUUUGUAUCAUUGUAUUGGCUCGGGGUGAGUGUUCUAAACAGGAAGGUCUUAGUGUCAUUGUAUUGGCUCGGGGUGAGGGUUCUAAACAGGAAG